CNUCCGGGAGGCAGCAGCGGNGAAUAAUNCGCAACGGGGGAAACCCUGANGCAGCAACGCCGCGUGAAGGAAGAAGGCCUUCGGGUUGUAAAAUUCUUUGAUUGGGGAGGAAGAAAGUGACGGUACCCAAAAAACAAGCCACGGCUAACUACGUGCCAGCAGCCGCGGUAAUACGUAGGUGGCGAGCGUUGUCCGGAAUUACUGGGUGUAAAGGGCGUGUAGGCGGGGAAGCAAGUCAGAUGUGAAAUUCCGGGGCUCAACCUUGGGGCUGCAUCUGAAACUGUUUUUCUUGAGUGCUGGAGAGGAAAGCGGAAUUCCUAGUGUAGCGGUGAAAUGCGUAGAUAUUAGGAGGAACACCAGUGGCGAAGGCGGCUUUCUGGACAGUAACUGACGCUGAGGCGCGAAAGCGUGGGGAGCAAACAGGAUUAGAUACCCUGGUAGUCCACGCCGUAAACGAUGGAUACUAGGUGUAGGAGGUAUCGACCCCUUCUGUGCCGGAGUUAACACAAUAAGUUCCC
rnacentral:rRNA from 1 species